CACGCCGUAAACGAUGAGUGCUAGGUGUUGGGGGUCAAACCUCGGUGCCGGAGCUAACGCAUUAAGCACUCCGCCUGGGGAGUACGUACGCAAGUAUGAAACUCAAAGGAAUUGACGGGGACCCGCACAAGCAGCGGAGCAUGUGGUUUAAUUCGAAGCAACGCGAAGAACCUUACCAGGACUUGACAUGCCAUUGACCACUUUAGAGAUAAAGUUUUAGCCUUCGGGCUACAAUGGACACAGGUGG
rnacentral:rRNA from 2 species